rnacentral:piRNA from 1 species
UCUCCAUUACACUUUCUAACUUU